CGAAAGCCUGACGGAGCAAGACCGCGUGAGGGAGGAAGGCUCUUGGGUUGUAAACCUCUUUUCUCAGGGAAGAAGCUCUGACGGUACCUGAGGAAUCAGCCUCGGCUAACUCCGUGCCAGCAGCCGCGGUAAUACGGAGGAGGCAAGCGUUAUCCGGAAUUAUUGGGCGUAAAGCGUCCGCAGGUGGCAAUUCAAGUCUGCUGUCAAAGCACGGGGCUUAACUCCAGAAGAGCCGUGGAAACUGCACCACUAGAGGGCGGUAGGGGUAGAGGGAAUUCCCGGUGUAGCGGUGAAAUGCGUAGAUAUCGGGAAGAACACCAGUGGCGAAAGCGCUCUACUGGACCGCAACUGACACUGAGGGACGAAAGCUAGGGGAGCA
rnacentral:rRNA from 1 species